UUGGAUCAUUUGGCAGGAAUUUGAUAUAUAUUUUACCUGAGCAGCUUCUUUUGUUCGAGCGUUAGGAAACCAUGAUAUUCUUUGUCUACAGAAGAGAAUAUCAAGUACAGUGGUUUUACACAUCAUAUUAGCUUGCCAAAAAUAGUAUUUCUAUCAGUCUGCAACUUUGAUAUUUAGAUGGAUGAUUGAAUUCUCAAUUAAUACAC
rnacentral:lncRNA from 1 species